AAACUGCGAUAAGUAGUGUGAAUUGCAUUUAGUGAAUCAUCGAAUCUUUGAACGCACCCUGCACUCACUGGUAUUCCGGUGAGUACGCCUGUUUCAGUAUCAUUGAAAACACACAAUCAAAACAUUUUCUUUGGUUUGAUUGGCUUUGGGUCUAUCAAAAAGUUUGGCUUGUUUCUUACAAGCCAAGUGGCCUGAAAUAUAUUGUCUGGCUAAUUGCAUCGUUGAUGAUCGCUAUUAGACUUUGGCUUUUUUAAAUGAACUGGAGGUUGAUUAACCAGUUUUAGCUUUAGUCAAAUGGUCAUUGUAAAAAAAAUCUCGAUCUUGGCUAGGUGUUUAUAGCCGAAAAUUUUUUUUUGGCUAUAACCGAAACCAAUAUAAUCACAUUUAGUUAUCGAUCUGAAAUCAGGUGGGACUACCCGCUGAACUUAAGC
rnacentral:misc_RNA from 1 species